UUUAGCAUGAAAGCGAAGCUAAUCAUUUAGUACUUUCUCAUUUCUGUAAAGCUCACAUGUGCACAAUCUUCUUAUGUUAAGUUAUUGUGAUAAUCCUAUGUUCGGCGUCCUACGUUUUCCUGUGUCCGGUGUUCGUUAUGUGAUUGGCGUCGUAAACUUUAAGCUCGUAACUACUAUAGAGACCACAUUUUUAUCCAAUCUUUAUGGUCAGGAUGUUUAGACUAUAUUUUUCCGAGUUCGAAUUGGAAUGACAUGCGUUCAAAAACCAAGUUAUCCGGUCAAAUCGUAAUAUACAUCUUGGUCAAAAUAUGAAUCUUGACAUUAUCUUGUAAUAACCGUCUCCCCUACCGCAAAAUAAGGUUACAUGUAAAAGUUGGAAGACAAAUAUGGUCAUAAAACAGGUUGAAAAUUCCAGUAUCAUUAAUACAUGUGCCAUAUAUUGAUGUGUUUUAAAUAACUUGGCACUAAAACAUAAGACAGCACGUUGCAUUUAAACCUUCACUCCCUACGUCAACGAUGAAGUCAUGCUUCAGAGAUUAAUUAAGAGUACAAAGAUCAAUGUUGGCAAAAAAAUAUUUUUCACACUGUUAAUUUGUCAUUCAUCAUGCUAUUUUUUGAUAGCAUACCACAAAAACGUACGCGAGCAGACGGCAAUAUGUGUGUGACAUCUGUCUCCCUACCUCCAAUGUCAAGGGUCUUCUACAAAGUCAGAAGAAACAUUUGGUCAGCUCGACAAUACCAUUCUAAGCUAUAUAUUGUCUUUAAAAUAAAUUGCUACAAAUGCAAUUUACCACAAGACGUCAUUUUGGGCAUUAUAAUUCGCCUUUCUAACUCAAAGUUUAAAGGCACACUUUAUAGAUCAAAGUUGGCAUAAAACAUGUUUUGCUGUCUUUAAAAUAGCUUACCACUAAUAAUAACCAAGUGUACUCGGCAUUGCGCGUGUGAAACCUGUCUGUCCCAUUGGUCAUGGUAAAAUUAGGAGGUCAAUUGUUCACUUUGGCUAUAAAUCAGCUUGCCCAGGAUGUAACUGUUUCAUUCAUAAAUUCAAUUCUAAAAUAAUUUGCCACAAUUGACUUUUGUCAGUUGACUGAAUCUCUCGUGCAUUGCCUGUCUCAUAAUCUUAAUGUGAAGGUCACAUUUAGUGGUCAAAGGUCAAAUAUGCCCAUCAAUAGUUUGUCUUUAACAUAAGCGGAGUUGUGGGACAAAAGAGAAAUCUAAGAGAAUUCGUGGUCAGUUGACACAUGUCAUGUUCAUUUAGGUUAAUCAUAUCGUUCUCUUACUAAAUACAUACUCUUGUGAAGUCUUCAGCAAUUGGUUUCCGUAAACUCAGAUGAGUGCUUAAAGCCCGCCGUUGCCAUCCUAGAACUGUAUUGGUAUCUUUUAUAUUUCUUUGGGAUUUGUUCCUCCAUUUUGGGAAAACGCUACAUAUGAAAUUUGGGAAUUUCUCGUCAUAAAAUUUCCCUUUUUGGGUAAACAUCGCUGCUUAUAUCUUAAUUAGAAAAAUAAUUAUAUAUGGUUUGGAGAUUUUUAACCAUUUUCAUUUUAUUGGUAAUACAGUUCAAUUCAAUUGUAUCCUAAAUUAAACGAAAUAAUAUUAUUCGGAAUUCAAAUUCUUGCAUUUUUAUUCCUACUUUUUACAGGGUUACUUUUAACUUAGAAUUAAUCGACCGAAGUAUCAAUACAUAUCGAUAGAAAGGGGUACCAUUAAGCUAAAACGUUUCGGUCCGAGGUACAUGUAGCACCUAGUAGAACUCCCUGACUUAAAAGAAGUUUUUAAUAGACGCACUACUUAGGUUCAUCGCUAUAUGAGCGAAUGUUAACAAAACAACCAUUAGUGUAUGCCAUAAAGAAUUAUUGCAUUAAAGUGUGUAUGAACAGACCACACACAAUAUCAUUGUCAAUUUUAUUUACAAAUGAACAAAAUAUUGAUAAAUAUUUUUUACAUUGAGGGCAAAAAAUGUUCUGUCAAUAUUAUUGCGUCAAUAAAAUUGACAAUGAUAUUUCGUGUGGAUGGGCAGCUAAGUUAUAAUUUUGUCUGUUAACAAUUUGCGAAAAUAUUAGCAAUAACCCAACCAUAACCAACACCGACAAUUAUGUUGAUCAAUGACAUGUAUAUAAGUUCAAGUUAAUCCACAUACAUUUUCGGUUGAAUGUGCAUCGUUUAGGAACAAAAGUAAAUAUGUACAGUGUAUUGAUCAACAUGGAAAAUAAUCGAAACGCAAUAUAUACCUAUGUUUUGUGCUAUCCCGGUUUUGGAAUUAGUUACACUGUGUUCUGUAUUCUGUCCAUUCCGUAUUUUUCUUUUUUCAUCUUCAAACGAAUGUCCUGUCAUCUGUAAAUACAUGCAUCUUGUUGUCUGUGAUAUAAAGCUCAAAAGAGCAUUAGUUUUUGAACUCAGUAAUCUUGUGCCAAGUCACCUGUACUGGAAGGUUGUAAUGUAGGAAACACGUAGUGAACAUUUCUAUCAAUGUUGUUAAACAUGAAAAUGUAUUGCUAUCAUCAUUAUUCAUGUAUUGUUUUAGCAAUAUGCUCUUGUCAAAAAUAAGUUUGAUAUGACUACAGUAAUCAAUUGGGCCAUAUACACUUUAGUCAAUAAAAACAUGUGCAUGUGUUUGCCCUCCUUAGAUGGAUACAAAUAACAAGUCCCAAAAUACGAUUAAUUUGUAAUAAUUUUUGCUGGUAAGGGGCUUAUUGAAAACUACUUUGCUUCGUGUCGUAAACUUUUAAAUAAAUAUAUUAUUGUAAUAAUUAUUCAAUGCAUAAAUUAUGUACACGUUUUAUUGACCAUGUUCACACUAGCCAUUUAAAAGUGUAUUUAUAUAUUAAUGCAUACCCAUUUUGUACAGUUCUUUUGUAUCGUAACUCAUUCAUGUUGUUAUUUAAAGAAUGGAAACUAUGAAAUAAAAAUUCUAUUUUGUUGUUUAUAA